GAUGAACGCUGGCGGCGUGCCUAAUACAUGCAAGUCGAGCGAACAGACGAGGAGCUUGCUCCUCUGACGUUAGCGGCGGACGGGUGAGUAACACGUGGAUAACCUACCUAUAAGACUGGGAUAACUUCGGGAAACCGGAGCUAAUACCAGAUAAUAUAUUGAACCGCAUGGUUCAAUAGUGAAAGACGGUUUUGCUGUCACUUAUAGAUGGAUCCGCGCCGCAUUAGCUAGUUGGUAAGGUAACGGCUUACCAAGGCAACGAUGCGUAGCCGACCUGAGAGGGUGAUCGGCCACACUGGAACUGAGACACGGCCCAGACUCCUACGGGAGGCAGCAGUAGGGAAUCUUCCGCAAUGGGCGAAAGCCUGACGGAGCAACGCCGCGUGAGUGAUGAAGGUCUUCGGAUCUUAAAACUCUGUUAUUAGGGAAGAACAAAUGUGUAAGUAACUAUGCACGUCUUGACGGUACCUAAUCAGAAAGCCACGGCUAACUACGUG
rnacentral:rRNA from 1 species